GCACAACCCCCUACUGGGGAUGUGCCCACAACCAAGGUACAUGCCCUUGACCGGAAUCGAACCUGGGAUCCUUCAGUCCGCAGGCCGACGCUCUAUCCACUGAGCCACACCGGUUAGGGUGAGAGGACAUUUUCUAGCAAUAACAUUGCCAAGCCCUAACCAGUUCUGCUCAGUGAUUAGAGCGUCAGCCCAUGGACUGGAGGGUCUCAGGUUCGAUCCCGGUCAAGGCCACAUACCUCAGUCGCAUUCAGGAGGCAACCAAUAGAUGUUUCUCCCUGUCUCUCCCCCUCCCUUCCACUCUCUAAAAAUCAAUGGAAAAUAUAUCCUUGGGUGAGGAUUAACAAAAAAUUUUUUUUUAAAAAAUUGUCAAGUAUAUCUAAUCAGAUGUUUUUAAGAAUUUACUAGAGUCCUAACCAGUUUGGCUCCGUGGAUAGAGCGUCAGCCUUCGGACUGAAGGGUCCCAGGUUCCAUUCCAGUCAAGGGCACAUACCUUGGUUGCAGGCACAUCCCCAGCAGGGAGUGUGCAGGAGGCAGCUGAUCAAUAAAUAUAUUUAUUUUAAAAAAGAAUUUGACUAGAAGCACUAGCCACACAGGA